rnacentral:rRNA from 1 species
GACGAACGCUGGCGGCGUGCUUAACACAUGCAAGUCGAACGAAGUGGCGAACGGGUGAGUAACGCGUAAUCAACCUGCCCUUCAGAGGGGGACAACAGUUGGAAACGACUGCUAAUACCGCAUACUGAAGGAGGGGAUUGCGUCUGAUUAGCUAGGUGGAGGGGGAACGGCCCACCAAGGCGAAGAUCAGUAGCCGGGCUGAGAGGGUGAACGGGCACAUUGGGACUGGGACACGGGCCAGACUCCUGCGGGGGGGAACAGGGGGGAAUCUUCCGCAAUGGACGAAAGUCUGACGGAGCAACGCCGCGUGGGUGAGGACGGGCUUCGGGUUGGAAAGCUCUGUUAAUCGGGACGCGGUACCGGAAUAGAAAGCCACGGCUAACUACGUGCCAGCAGCCGCGGUAAUAC